GUAAAGGAUAUUAGGCCCCAAUGUUGUGAAAACCACUGUGGUUCUUUGAACUAAAAAAAGAAGUCCUGUCUCAAAUACACCACAGCCCUAGAAAAAGAUAUUUUUAAGGCAUGAGUAGAAAAUAGCCUAAAUCAAGUGACUUUACAACAGUUUCCUUUAUUUAGUUACUACAACUUCCUGAGUGUUGGCCUGCCCUCCCUUUGCUUUGACUUCUAGGAACUUUGACCCAGCCUGAGCCUCAGCUCUAUCUUAAGGAUGCUGCUGUGAUCAUAGAGGAUUCAGAGACCACAUGUCUGCUCCUCCAGCUGGGAUCCAUUCUUAGAAUUUGGUUUCUGUUCUGAUCCAUAUCUUGGUUCCAAUGACCAGUGAAAGCUCAGGAAAAGGAGCACUGAUGUAAAAGAUACUUGCUUAACCAAAGCACUGAGACAGCACAUCUGCAGGAAAACACCAUAUGAAGCUUGAGGAGACAGAAAGUCAAAGACAAGCCACGCAGUGAUCCUAGCAGGAGAAUGUGAG
rnacentral:lncRNA from 1 species